UACGUAGGGUGCAAGCGUUGUCCGGAAUUAUUGGGCGUAAAGAGCUUGUAGGCGGUUUGUCGCGUCUGCUGUGAAAUUUCGGGGCUCAACCCCCGAACUUGCAGUGGGUACGGGCAGACUAGAGUGUAGUAGGGGAGACUGGAAUUCCUGGUGUAGCGGUGGAAUGCGCAGAUAUCAGGAGGAACACCGGUGGCGAAGGCGGGUCUCUGGGCAGUAACUGACGCUGAGGAGCGAAAGCGUGGGGAGCGAUCCGG
rnacentral:rRNA from 1 species